CUGAACUUGAGUAGGGCCCAAGCAAGCCAGGAAGGAGGAGGCAGCCAGAAUGGCCACCACUGUUCUCUGCAGCAGACACCUUGCUGCCCUGCCCAACCCAGCCCAGCAUUUGCCAGAUGUCUGUGAGCAAGUCUGUCUGCCCACCUCCUCCUCCUCCUGAACCACUUCACCAGCGCAAGAAAGAGAGGGACCAUCACAAAGCUGAGAUGGAUAGGAAGGUGCUGGUUAUGACCUCUAAAGCCCUAAAUGGUUUAGGCUCAGGGUACCUGAGGGACUGCCUUUCUCCAUAUGCCCGUUCACCAAGGUCAUCUAGAGAGGCUCUGUUCCGGAUCCUGCCACCUGCUGAGGUAUCUUCAGUUCUGGAAUAUGGCCGCAUAGUAAUUUACACAACCAGUCUUCGAGUGGUGAGAACGACUUUUGAAAGAUGUGAGCUGGUUCGAAAGAUCUUCCAAAACCACCGAGUAAAAUUUGAAGAGAAGAACAUUGCACUGAAUGGCGACUAUGGAAAAGAACUAGAUGAAAGAUGCAGAAGAGUAUGUGAGACCCCAUCACUACCAGUAGUGUUUAUUGAAGGCCAGUAUCUGGGGGUUCCAGAGAGCAAAGAUCUUCCGGUCAAUGUGACUCCUAUCUCUCCCUUUAAAUCAAUCGGAGCCCUAAAUGAAGCGGGUAGCAAGACAGCAGUUCAACAGGGAGAUCUGGCCCCGUGUGCUCCAGAGCUUCAUCAAGGGAAGACCACAUCCGAGGAUAUUGUCCAGCCUACUUACUCUCUAGGCGUAGCCAGUCCAGAGGCAAUUCCCCCGGGUCUGACUAAAGUAGAUGAUGACCUCAGAAACGAUUGUGUUGAAGGAUCUGAAGUAUCGGAGAGGAACCCAGUAGAAAGUCAAAUGGACGGUUCAACUAAUUGACUGGAUUAUCCCAAGCAAAUGAGAUUUUCAGUGAGACACCAUGAAUCCACUCUAAUUUGCUAUCAUAGAAUCCACACUCAGAAAACCUCUGAAACAACAGAACCCUGUACCCCAUGGGUUAGAAACCCAUGGGGGUGGUUGGCACCCUAUGUGCACUACACCACCACUCUCUCUGGGCCACCCCAGCACCCACCAAGUGCACUUAUGGGGCCGCUGAAAGCUCCAUUAUAACUUAUGAGGAAAAACCUUAAAGACGUGUGAACUUCAACAAUGCGCCAAAAAUCAGCCCUCUGCCCAAAUCCUUUGAAAAAAUUCAGGUAGCUUCCUUGUCCCUACCCGGCACUAACACCAACCCCACCUGGCACUAGGACACCCCUUUCCCCCCGACAUGAAGCAAUACACCCUUCAUGGGGGAAAACCUUAAAGACGCGUAAACUUCAGAAAUUCACCAAAAAUCAGCCCUUUGCCCAAUCCCUCUGAAAUUGGGGUGGUAACCUCCACCCAUUAGUCACUACCACCACACCCCACUCUUUUGACCCAGAUCCCACGUUAUGCCCCCUAUCUGCCCCAAAGACACUAAAACUUCAAAAAUUCACCAAAAAUCAGCCCUUUGACCAAUCCCCCUGAAAUUUGGGUGGUAGCCUUCACCCAUUGGGCACUACCACUCCACCCCACUAUUUUGCCCCUGGGACCCGCUUUUUUGCCCUGAAUCAAUUCAGAUUCAGACCUGAAUAAAUUCGGGUCCGAACCGAAUCGGGGGGUGAUUCGGGAGGGCCAUAUUUGGCCACAGAACAGAACGGGGGUGUUUUGGCUUGGGUCCGAGCCAAAACACCGAAUAUCCGAAUUGCACACUCCUAUCUUAAACCUUACAAACUCGAUUUUGAUCUACCCAACCUGCUAAUAUUACUAAAUUUCAAACCCUGUUGUAAAAUCAAUAUUAGGAAAAUAGUUCUUUGAGUAUAAUAAGAAUGGUUUCCAAUCUUCUUUAAAGCAUUCCAAAUUUUGAUCUCUUAUCAGUACUGUAAGUUUUGCCAUCUCCGCAUAUUCCAAAAUUUUUAUCAGCCAAUCUUCUUUUGAGGGCAGUUCAUUGCUCUUCCAUUUCUGCACAUAUAUUAUUCUGGCCGCCGUGGUAGCGUACAUAAAGAAUGUUAAGUUGGUUGUAGAAAAAACUCCUUGCGUUAUUCCCAGCAGGAAGGAUUCUGGCUUCUUAGGAAAUAUCAUUUUGAAAAUUUUCUUUAACUCAUUAUAUAUUAUGUCCCAAAAGGCCUUAGCCCUCCUAUAAGACCACCACAUAUGAAAAAAAGUUCCUUCAGAGUGUCCACAUUUCCAACAUUUGUUUGAAACAUUUUUGUACAUUAAUGCUAGUUUUUAAAGUGUCAAAUACCACCAGAACAGACUCCUUUCAUGGAUGAGCAGCCUCUCUCACAGGGGAUACUCUUCCGGGGAGUGUGGGCCUCCUUGUAGUGGGUGAUUCGAUCAUUAGAGGUAUAGAGAGAUGGGUUUGUGACCCGUGUGUUGACUGCCUGGUGCAAAUGUUGCGGACAUCACGCUGCGUUUAGAUAGGCUCUUAGGCAGAGCUGGGGAGGAGACAGCUGUUGUGGUGCACGUCGGCACCAACGAUGUGGGGAAAUGUAGUCGGGAGGUCCUGGAAGCCAAAUUUAGGCUGAUAGGUAGCGUAUUGAAGUCCAGGACCCCCAAGGUAGCAUUCUCAGAAAUGCUACCUGUUACACACGCAGGUACAGUGAGACAGGCAGAGCUGAAGGGUUUCAAUGCGUGGAUGAGACGUUGGUGCCGGGAGGAGGGGUUUAGAUCUGUUAGGCACUGGGAUACAUUUUGGGGCAAGCAAGGCCUGUACAAAAGGGAUGGGCUGCACUUGAACCAAGAUGGAACCAGACUGCUGGCACUUAAAAUCAUAAAAGUUGCAGAGCAGCUUUUGAAAUGACACCUGGAGAAUUGCCGACGGGAGCUGGGCAGUAUCCGGUUUGGCAAAAGCCAUCCUUUAAAGUGCAAGGGUGCAAAGGAUUCAGAUAAAACAGAAGGGGACAGAGCACAACUGCAUAAAGAGCAGACAGGAGCCUGUGCCUGCUGGUCAAAGAGUCGAAGGAAAGAUAGCAUACAUCAGGUGAGAGAUUCAGCAUAUAGGUGCUUAUAUGCCAAUGUCAGAAGCCUCUGAGUCAAGAUGGAUGAGCUGGAGUGCUUGGUUGCUAACGCAGAAAUAGAUAUAGUGGGCAUAACAGAAACAUGGUGGAACUGUGAGAACCAGUGGGACACUGUUAUCCCUGGAUAUAAACUCUACAGAAAGGACAGGGAAGUGGAGUAGCACUGUAUGUUAAAGAAGGGAUAGAAUCUAACAAGCUAGAAAACAUAGGUGUGGGUGACAAUACAAGGUGACAAUACAUAUGUGUGGGUGACAAUACAAAUCCUGUGGGUGACAAUACAAGCCCUGAAAAGGAACGUGCUACUGGGGACAUGCUAUCGCCCUCUGGAUCAAAAUGCUGACAGUGACUGGGAGUUGCAGCAGGAAAUCAGGGAGGCUUCAAGGAGAGGCAGGGCUGUAAUAAUGGGUGACUUCAAUUACCCACACAUAGACUGGGGAAAUUCACAGUCAGGAAAUGACAAAGAGGUCAAAUUUCUAGAUACGCUGAAUGACUGUGCCCUAGAACAGUUGGUCUUGGAACCAACCAGAGAGAAGGAGACCUUGGACUUAAUUUUGAGUGCCACCCAGGACCUCGUGUGUGAUGUCAGUGUCAAUGACCCUUUAGGAAACAGUGACCAUAGUGUGAUCAAAUUCAGCAUACAUGCGGGGAGAGAAUCACCAAGGAAGUCUAACACAGACAUUUUGAAUUUCAGAAGAGGAAACUUCUGAAAUUGACACAUUUUCGACUGAAGUGUCGACUCAAUGUGCGGCAGCUGUGAAAAAUGCCAAUUGCAUGCUAAGAAUCAUUAGGAAGGGGACUGAAAAUAAAAGGGCUAAUAUUAUCAUGCCCUUAUACAAAACCAUGGUGUGGCCACACCUGGAGUACUGAGUACAGUUCUGGUCACCACAUCUAAACAAGGACAUUAUAGAACUGGGAAAGGUGCAGAAGAGGGCAACCAAGAUGAUCAGGGGCCUAGAGCACAUUUCUUAUGAGGCAAGGCUACAACACCUGGGGCUGUUUAGUUUAGAAAAAAGAUGAUUGCGGGGAGACAUCAUAGAGGCCUAUAAAAUCAUGCAUGGUGUGGAGAAAGUGGAUAGAGAGAAAUUCUUCUCCCUCUCACAUAACACUAGAACCAGGGGCCAUCCCAUGAAAUUGAUUGCCAGGAAAUCUAGGACCAACAAAUGGAAGUACUUUCUCACACAAUGCAUAAUCAACUUGUGGAAUCCUCUGCCAUGAGAUGUGGUGACAGCCAAAAACCUAGAUGGAUAUAAGAGCGGUUUGGAUAACUUCAUGGAGGAGAGGUCUAUCAACGGCUACUAGUUGGAGGGCUGUAGGCCAUCACCAGCCUCAAAGGCAGGAUGCCUCUGAGUACCAGUUGCAGGGGAGUAACAGCAGAUGGGAGGGCAUGUCCUCAACUCCUGCCUGUGGCUUCCAGUGGCAUCUGGUGGGCCACUGUGCAAAACAGGAUGCUGGACUAGAUGAGCCAUGGGCCUGAUCCAGCAGGGCUGUUCUUAUGUUCUUAUCAUGCUUGGCUAAUUUCCGUUUAAACACAUCAAAUUGGAAUUUCACUUUUUUAAAAAAAGAAUUCUGCAUUCUUGUAUCUGAAACUCUCCCCAGUCAAAUCUACCACAUAGUUAGCACAUAGUGGGGGAAGUGGGGGAAGGGGAGGGAAGAAAAAGCUGAUAACACAGCUAUGCCUGUUUAACACUAACAAAGAGAAAUGCUAAGGGGAUGAGGGUAAGAAAGCAAAUUUCUUCAUACACCCUUUAAUGACCUAUGCACUUCAUUGUUUCUUUCAGUUCUUCCUUGCUGUUAACCUCAGGUUUAAGUUUAUGUAAAUAUAGCAUUUCCAUUAUCUUUCUUUUAAGUGUGCAAUAUUCUGAUUCCAAAAUGUUUACUUUGAGUGGCAUUGUUAUUCCAUUAUGUUUAUUUUUCAUAUGUGUAGACCAUGGUCUUUCCCUGUUUAUGUAUUUUGAACCUGCUAGGUGUUCUUUAAAUUUGGAAACUAAAUGUUAUUGAUCCUGUUAUUGAACCACAAAAAAGAGAAUAAAAGCUACAGUGGGCAAGGCACUUGUAUAUUGGGUUAAUUUUAUUUAUGAAGAGAUUCUUGGAUAGCAAGGAAACUGAAAAAGCAGCAGGAAAAGCAAGGAUGAAUAUAUAGGAGAAGGCCCUUAAGUAUUAGAUAACUUUAAAUAUCAGAGAAAUUGAGAUGCUCUUCAAGUAGUGUUUCUUGGUGUUUCUGAUUAGUGUGCUUCCAUAGGAAAUAGUAAUUACUGUUGUGAAAACAAAAUAUUUUAAUAAUUGUGUUUAAAGUACUAAAUAGGACCCCAUAAAUCUACAUUAAAUACCAGGAAAGACAUUUUCUUGACAACCUGUUGUUUUUCCCCUGUUGGGAGCUGGUCUACCAAUUGGAAUCAGCAGAUAGGCCAGCCCUCCGAGGCGGGCUAACACACAAAGUCCAGAGUGGAGGGUUGGUCUACCUGCUGAUCCAAGUGAGAUUGGCGAGCAGACCAAUCCUCCACUCCAGACUUAGUGUGUCAGCCCACCUCAGAGGAGUUCUGAUCCCAGUUGGGAUCCCAAUUGUUAGACCAGCUCUACCCAGAAAAAAGCACCAUUUUGAGGCCCAUUUCCCCAGCAAAAUAGGCCUCAAAUAGCAUGUGAAUCGCCCAAAUCAAUUUUGGUAAUUUGGGGUUGAUUCGUCAAGAUAGCUGGCCAAGCCAUCUGCUUCUGAUGAAUCAGUUUGGAGGUCUGCAAUUCAAUUUUACCUUGAAUUGAAUCACAGAUUUUGAUUUGUGCUGACAACCUGAUCUUACGAAGAUAGUAUAGUAUAGUAUAGUAUAGUAUAGUAUAGUAUAGUAUAGUAUAGUAUAGUGUAGUAUAGUAUAGUAGUUUCUCUUGUAAUGUACCAGCUUUGUUCAUACUGCAUAGGGCAAUAAUGCUCAAGUUGGUCACAUCCUGGAUCCAUAUCCAGCCUCUCCAACUGGGGCACUGGGCUCUUAGGGAGCAUAAAGUUCCAGGGUAUCAAGAGUCCAGAAAGAUUGCGAUAGACUGGGUUCAGUGGAUGCUGGGGGCAGGUACCAUAAGAAUGUUAGAACAUCCCUGCUGGACCAGGCCCAGGGCCUAUCUAGACCAGCAUCCUGUUUUACACAGUGGCCCACCAGAUGCCUUGGAGAAACCCACAGGCAGGGGGUGAGGGCUUGCCUUCUCUCCUGCCCUGCAACUGGCAGAUUAGGCAGAAUAGGGAAGAAGCUUAGGCAGAUGGGAAGAAGAGCAAGAAACAUGGUCAAAGACAGAUUGGUGGUCAGAUACCACACAAAGACAACACAAGGUGAAGCAAGUCUGUGCGGUUGCUCAAUCCAACACGUUGCUCAUACUGAGCAAUCAAAGCCUGGGACGAGGUUUCUAUGGAACAAACCAGGACUCUAUUAGUUCCUUCAUUCACAUGAUUGGACUGAGCUGAAGAGCAGUAGUAUCAGUUCUGGAACUGCAGCACAACAGAAAUAGGGUUGAUAAUCACUGCAUUCUGAGAGCCAUUGGGGUAGCACAAGGAGGAAGUGCCUGGGUCCUGCUGCAAGAAUUCUUGCUUUGGGAAGGAUAAGAUUUUGAGGAAGUUAGUGACCUCUUUUCCCCACCAGCAAAGACCUGGGUAGGCGAAAUGUCCGCUGGCAGUGGACCCUGCCUGAUCCCCAUUGCAUUUGUGGGUGUGAACUGCACCACUACUGCCCCAUCAUCUCAAUUUGAUUUGGGAAGAAGAACAUUCAGAAGGAGCUGUUGCAUUGUUCUUAUGCUGUGUUUACAGUAUCCUAUGCUUUAGGGAGGUCUUGUGUUCCUCUAAUACCAUUGUGGGACUACUAUCACAGUCAGUGGAAACUCAAGACCUCUGUGCUCCCGAGGCAGGGUGUCAAAUGCCUCCCCUUGUGACCACCCUUCCUCUUCUCCCCCUCCCUUUUAAAGGGAGGGAGAAGGGUGUCUUAACACCUUGCUGGCACUGCAAUAAUUUGCUGCCUGAGGUGACUGCUUCACCUUGCCUCAUGGAAGGGUUGCCCCUGAUCCCAGUGCACACAUCCUUGCGCUUAGCAGCAGAUUGAAUACAUAUAACUACAUGCCCAGAUCUCUGCACACUCACCUGUGGAAUGGAUUGUUAAUCCUGAGUUGGGCCAUGAGAAGAUAGCCUAAAUUUAAAUGGGGGGCUUGAAUUCUAAAAGUGUGAGAAACAUGAAAGUGCAGUGCUUGGAAUAACUGAGAUGAUAGAAAUGAUAGAAAUCAGAUCUCCAGUGAACAGUUUCUAGUUUCCGUUUUCAGGCAGACAAUAACAUGUGAGCCAAAUUAGAUGUGAUGGGCAGCCACAUUUAUUUUAACUACAUAUCUGCCAUGUUCUUAUAUCAAGCAGGGGUGAGGGUGCAGGUUCUAUUCUUUCCUUGAAAAAGAGUGCACAGUGUUUUGUCUCACAGUGCUCCAUUGUUUUAAAUAGUUUUCUUCCAGCCCUGCUCCAGUACUGGAAGUGAGCAAGGCUGGGCAAAAAAUUGUUUAAAGCAACAGCGCGGUGGGGUAAGGCAGAGGGGGAACUGGGUUUUCUUCCUCCACAUGUACUCCUGAGCAUGGAAAUUAUAGUUUUACAUGUCAGUGGGGCAGGCGUGGAUAAAACACAUUGGUUGCUCCAUGUCUCAUCUAGUUUGACACUUACCCAGAUAUAAAUGUUUCCUGGAAAACAUGUAGAUUGUACAAAUAUUCACCUUUUCUGUACCUGUUUGGUGCCAUCUUUUCCCGUGAUGGCUGCUUCUUCAGCAUUAUUAUUUUUAUACUCAGCUGCUUUUUCUUCCUGGAUUAGUUAUAUUUCUGAUCUCACCCCAUCAGGGAGCAUGUAUCAAGAUGAUGUCACAAUGCUAUUUGGCCAAUCAGAUUUGACUUUGAGAUGACAUCACUGAGGGCAAGUAAGAUCAAUGUACAUGAAUAAGUGAACAUAGGGAGUGCUAAAAAUUGCUGAAAGAAGAAGUAGUUUUGGCUCAGUGCUAGCAGAAUCAUUCAUAUCUCUCUUACAAUAACAAGCACAUUAAACACAAAUGCCCAGUUGUGCCUCUCAGUUCUUCAGUGAUUCCUCCCUGAUUAACAGAUGGAGCCAAAUGAAAGUUUUACAUCUUCUUUGGCAAUAUCGUUUUCUUUACAGUAACCUUUUGUACUUUUGAAAAGAAAAAUGAAUAACCUCUUCAUAACUGCCUUGCUUCAGAGCUUAGAAAUUCCCCAAGGCCCAAUGUACUCAACUUAAAUUAUCUUUAUUAUUCACUGCUGAAUUUUGAUUUUAGUUUCAUUAUGAUAUUUUUCAUCACCUUACCUCUCUAUGCUAUUAUACACUCAACAUGCUCUGUGUGAAUUCGAUGCUGGAAAUGCUUGAAUAGUUGAAAUACUUUCUCAAGCUCAUUUAACUCAUUCUCUGAUGCACUAUAUAUUUAAGAAAUUGCCUUGCCGACGUAGUAACUAGAUGCACCCUCCUAACUCCCCCACACACCAAAACCCGAGAAAGUGUGCAUUGUAAAAUAGGGAAUAACAAUCUCAGUCUUCAUAUAGAACAAUAUAUAAGAAACAAAUGAUCCUUGGUUCAGUAGUGAAGGCUUGGGCAACUGAAAGCUAUGAUUAUAUUUUUGAACAAUUUCGUUUGAAACCUUUCUCUCUGAGCUACAUUUCCAAGGCCAAAACAUAUAUCUCACCAUUAAAUUAACAGUUUCUGUUUAUUAUCUCAGAUUAACAGAUUUUGUCUUUUUCCUCACAGGGUGCUGAGAAAAUUUUGUCAAUGAAUGAAUCAGGGGAACUGCAGGAUCUCUUAACCAAAAUUGAGAGAGUUCAGCACCCCCAUGAAUGCCUCUCCUGUGGAGGCUUUGGUUUUGUUCCAUGCUCAGCGUGCCAUGGGAG